GCCAGCAGCCAUAUCACCCUGCAACUCACAGCUGCCAGCCCACUGAAGCUCAGCAGGUGUGAGCCUGGUCAGUACCUGGAUAGGAGACCUCCUGGGAAAAACUAUGGUUGCUGCUGGAA
rfam:Lepisosteus oculatus linkage group LG11, whole genome shotgun sequence.